AAAUAAUAAAUCCCUAUGAGGAAAAAAUACAUUUAAUAACUCAUAACAAUUAUUUUUAUAAUAUUCAUUACACAAAUAAAUUCACAUAAUUAUAGGAAUUCAAGGAUUGUACUUGUCUACCAAUAUUUUAUUAACCUAUUACUACAUAGAAAUUUGCAUGCCUAGCUAACCAAAGUUCGUCACAAGUGCAACACAGUUUAUAUAGUCACAUAACAAAGCAAGCAUUAGGGUUAUCAUCGCUGAAAAAUUCAGGGGCAUAAGCAUACUCCAAGUAAAACUUUGAUGGCCAAUAUUCAUUUCUUUUGAUGUCACUCAUAACAUCCUCUCCCUUUCCUUCCUCACCAUCUUUCUUUUCUUGUUCUUUCUCUUCCUUCUUCUCCUCUUCUUUCCUCUCUUCUUCCUUCUUUUCUUGAUCAUCUUUCACUAUGAAAGCUUGCUUUCUAGUCUUCUUGUACACAUCAUCAACUAGUUUGGUUGGAUCUAUCACGCCUUUUACUAUUAUAUGACUAUUAGCAAGGUCUGUUUCGACUGAUUCUACCCCUUUGAUCUUUCGAACUCGCUUCUGUAAAGCUUGAGCACAUGCUUCGCAAUGCAUUCGAACGCUCAAUACAACUGUUACUACAGCAGGAGGUUGCUCCACUUUUUUCUCUUCCUCCUUUUUCUCUUCCUUUGAUGGUUCUUGACUUUCUUGCUUGUUUUCUUCUGGUGGCUUUGGCAAAGGUGAAAUUAA
rnacentral:misc_RNA from 1 species